GAUGAACGCUGGCGGCGUGCCUAAUACAUGCAAGUCGAGCGAAUGGAUUAAGAGCUUGCUCUUAUGAAGUUAGCGGCGGACGGGUGAGUAACACGUGGGUAACCUGCCCAUAAGACUGGGAUAACUCCGGGAAACCGGGGCUAAUACCGGAUAACAUUUUGAACCGCAUGGUUCGAAAUUGAAAGGCGGCUUCGGCUGUCACUUAUGGAUGGACCCGCGUCGCAUUAGCUAGUUGGUGAGGUAACGGCUCACCAAGGCAACGAUGCGUAGCCGACAUGAGAGGGUGAUCGGCCACAUUGGGACUUAGACACGGCCCAGACUCCUACGGGAGGCAGCAGUAGGGAAUCUUCCGCAAUGGACGAAAGUCUGACGGAGCAACGCCGCGUGAGUGAUGAAGGCUUUCGGGUCGUAAAACUCUGUUGUUAGGGAAGAACAAGUGCUAGUUGAAUAAGCUGGCACCUUGACGGUACCUAACCAGAAAGCCACGGCUAACUACGUGCCAGCCGCCGCAGUAA
rnacentral:rRNA from 1 species